rnacentral:misc_RNA from 1 species
AAAGUGCGAAAAGUGUCAUGACUUGCAGAUUCCCGAGAGCUGACAAAUCUCUGAAUGCAAAUGGCAGUCGCGUUAGACCCGACUAUGUAUUGUAGAGUGUAGAUGCUCCAGCUAUUCAUCAUCUUUUCUCUCUCUCUUCUGUCUCUUUUAAUCGAGAGAUGGAGGGGGCUGAAAAGUAUGGAUCUGCGCUUGCGAUGUACAUCCUGUAUGUCGCGAGUGUUAAAAGGAAAGGUCUACAUUCUUCCCUUCUCGCAAGAAAAGGGGAGAGUGUGCACCGAUGAUCUAGGAUUGUUAACCCAAUUCGAACUAAUCGGAUGCUCUCAUAAGGCCGAAUGAUUUACCCCCCCAUAUCUCUAUGAGCCACCUCUACAAUGCAUGAAAACCCGCUGAACUUAA